rnacentral:rRNA from 1 species
CCUGGCUCAGAGCGAACGUUAGCGGCAGGCUUAACACAUGCAAGUCGAGCGACAAAAGGGGGCUUCGGCCCUGAGUAGAGCGGCGGACGGGUGCGUAAACACGUGGAUAAUCUGCCUCGUGGCGGGGGGAUAACAGUCCGAAAGGACUGCUAAUACCGCAUGUCAGGUCGGAAACCCUGGUUUCUGACGAAAAAGAGGGCGCCCGCAAGGGGCUCUCACCACGAGAUGAGUCCGCGGCCCAUCAGCUAGUUGGCGGUGUAAUAGACCACCAAGGCUAAGACGGGUAGCUGGUCUGAGAGGAUGACCAGCCACACUGGGACUGAGACACGGCCCAGACUCCUACGGGAGGCAGCAGUGGGGAAUAUUGGACAAUGGGCGAAAGCCUGAUCCAGCCAUGCCGCGUGAGUGAUGAAGGUCUUCGGAUCGUAAAGCUCUGUGGGAAGGGACGAAAAA